AGCCUGGGGGUGUAAUCACGUCAAAAUGCAAAUUUGGAGACGCACCCAAGAGGUGCCGGGGCUU
rnacentral:tRNA from 1 species